rnacentral:lncRNA from 1 species
CCAAAUAUUUUAAUUAGAAACUUUUUUAAUGUAAUGAUCUGGUAAGACUAUCAGAAUGAAUUGUAUCUUCCAGAUAAAAUUGUGGUGCUCUUUUAAAAGAAAACACAUCUGUGUCUAUAUGUAUAUUAGCUAAAGAACGGGUUGUUUAGGAUUGCUUCUUUAUUUAUAAGUAUCAGAUUAUGAAAAAUAUUGUACUCUUGUUUAAUCUUUUUAUACUUGUGAUCUAUUUAACUGUAUAUAAACACACUUGUAGCUUGGCUUUUAUUAUUGGACUUUGGUUUAUUCGAGGACAAAAGGAGGAAUUUUUUGAGAUAAAGUCUCCCUGUGCACCCUAUUCUAACCUCAAACUCAUUCCUCCUGCCUUAUUUUCUUGAGUGGUAGGAAUACCGCCAUUCCUGACUUAUAUGUGUAUUUUAAAAAUAUGUGUGAGAUUUUUGUUUUCCGCUAAACAUUAUCUCAAUUACUUCAGUUUUUUCCAGAAAUAUGUUUUGAAUGCUUACAUUUACUAUCUAUUCUGCUAUACCAAAAUAGAUGUAAAAUAGUUAUUUAGCAACAAAAAUGUGUCUUUCAUUGUUUCUUAAAUGUGUAGACUGUGAUGAAUAAAGCAAAAUUUCCUCUCUUAA